GAUGAAGAACGUAGCGAAAUGCGAUACUUGGUGUGAAUUGCAGAAUCCCGUGAACCAUCGAGUCUUUGAACGCAAGUUGCGCCCGAAGCCAUUAGGCCGAGGGCACGCCUGCCUGGGCGUCACACGUCGUUGCCCCCCCAUCUACUCCUUCGGGAUUGCGGGGGGCGGAUGAUGGCCUCUCGUGCGCCUCGUCGCGCGGUUGGCCUAAAUGCCAAGUCCUCGGCGACGCACGCCACGACAAUCGGUGUUUGCGAAACCUCGGUUGCCUGUCGUGUGCGGUCGUCGCGCAUCGAGGGCUCGAAAAAAUUGCCGGGCUUCGGCUCGACUUUCAACGCGACCCCAGGUCAGGCGGGGUUACCCGCUGAAUUUAAGCAUAUCAAUAAGCGGAGGA
rnacentral:misc_RNA from 1 species